rnacentral:rRNA from 1 species
CACGUAGUUAGCCGGGGCUUCUUAGUCAGGUACUGUCAAUUUCUUCCCUGCUGAUAGAGCUUUACAUACCGAAAUACUUCUUCACUCACGCGGCGUUGCUGCAUCAGGGCUUCCCCCAUUGUGCAAUAUUCCCCACUGCUGCCUCCCGUAGGAGUUUGGGCCGUGUCUCAGUCCCAAUGUGGCCGAUCACCCUCUCAGGUCGGCUACUGAUCGUCGCCUUGGUGAGCCGUUACCUCACCAACCAGCUAAUCAGACGCGGGUCCAUCUUACACCGAUACAAUCUUUUCCGUCAGAGUCAUGCGACCCCAGCGGGUUAUGCGGUAUUAGCAGCCAUUUCUAACUGUUAUCCCCCUGUGUAAGGCAGGUUCCCCACGCGUUACUCACCCGUCCGCCGCUCAGUCAAACUGUUUCAUUCCGAAAAAUCAAACAGAGUGCUUCGCUCGACUUGCAUGUGUUAGCACGCCGCCAGCGUUCAUCCUCG